rnacentral:rRNA from 1 species
GACGUAGGGCGCGAGCGUUGUCCGGAUUUAUUGGGCGUAAAGAGCUCGUAGGCGGCUCGUUGCGUCGGCUGUGAAAACCCGCAGCUCAACUGUGGGCUUGCAGCUGAUACGGGCGGGCUGGAGUUCGGUAGGGGAGACUGGAAUUCCUGGUGUAGCGGUGAAAUGCGCAGAUAUCAGGAGGAACACCGGUGGCGAAGGCGGGUCUCUGGGCCGAUACUGACGCUGAGGAGCGAAAGCGUGGGGAGCGAACGGG